rnacentral:rRNA from 1 species
CUUGACUGUAUCCUGGAAUUGGGUUCGGGCUUUUCUUGCGCAGCCUAGGUGGGAGGCUAUGAAGAUUUCCUUCCGGGGGAGUUGGAGCCAUCAGUGAGAGACCACUCUGGAGAGGCUAGAAUCCUAAUGGUGAUCCUUUGAUCAGGACACUUGACGUUUUCAGGUGGGCAGUUUGUUUGGGGCGAACACCUCAUAAAAGGUAACUGAGGUGCGCAAAGGUUCCCUCGGUCUGGACGGAAAUCAGACUAAAGAGUGUAAAGGCAAAAGGGAGCUUGACUGUAAGACCUACAAGUCGAACAGGGGCGAAAGCCGGCCUUAGUGAUCCGACGGUUCCAUGUGGAGGGGCCGUCGCUCAACGGAUAAAAGUUA